GCGCAGCAGGCGCGAAACUUCACAAUGUGCGAAAGCACGAUGAGGGAAUCCCAAGUGCUUGCUCGUAAGAGUAAGCUGUUUCUCUGUCUAAAACGCAGAGAGAGUAAGGGCUGGGUAAGACGGGUGCCAGCCGCCGCGGUAAUACCUGCAGCUCGAGUGGUGGCCGCUAUUAUUGGGCCUAAAACGUCCGUAGCCGGUUUAUUAAAUGCCUGGGUAAAUCGGACCGCUUAACGGUUCGAAUUCCGGGUAGACUGAUAAACUUGAGACCGGGAGAAGCUAGAGGUACUCCUGGGGUAGAGGUGAAAUUCUGUAAUCCUAGGGGGACCACCAGUGGCGAAGGCGUCUAGCUAGAACGGGUUUGACGGUGAGGGACGAAGCCCUGGGGCGCAAAACGGGGAUUAGAUACCCCUGUAGU
rnacentral:rRNA from 1 species